AAUAGAUGACGCCGUUGAUUUUUUCUCACAUGUUUGACCAUUCAUCUUAUUCAAAAAAUUUAUGGAAUUAUAAUUUAUUUUGUUAUGAGUUGUUUUAUCACUCAUAAUACUUUAAAGUGUGAUUUAUAUCUUAUAUAUUUGCAUAAAAUUUUUAAAUAAGACAAAUGGUCAAAUAUAUGAGAAAAAAUCAACGACGUCAUCUAUU
rnacentral:pre_miRNA from 1 species